GGAAGAGGAAGAGGAAGAGGAGGUGGAGGAUGUGUUCUGGUGGCAACAGUCGAUAGAGGAUUUGGAUAUGAAGGAGCUUGUACAGUACAAGGCAAGCUUGGAAGGGUUGAGGAGGAAUUUGAUUAUGAGAAUUGAGGAGAUGAAGAUGCGGAGAGCUGCGACCAGAAAUUUUUUUGAGUGAUUGCAAAAGAAAGAUUUCAUUCUUAGUUUCUUGAAGUUUGUUAUUUUUUUUAAUUAUUUUUU
rnacentral:misc_RNA from 1 species